AUUGAACGCUGGCGGCAUGCCUUACACAUGCAAGUCGAACGGCAGCAUGGAGAGCUCGCUCUCUGAUGGCGAGUGGCGAACGGGUGAGUAAUGCAUCGGAACGUACCGUGUAAUGGGGGAUAACGUAGCGAAAGUUACGCUAAUACCGCAUAUGACCUGAGGGUGAAAGCAGGGGAGCGCAAGACCUUGCGUUAUACGAGCGGCCGAUGUCAGAUUAGCUAGUUGGUGAGGUAAAGGCUCACCAAGGCGACGAUCUGUAGCGGGUCUGAGAGGAUGAUCCGCCACACUGGGACUGAGACACGGCCCAGACUCCUACGGGAGGCAGCAGUGGGGAAUUUUGGACAAUGGGGGCAACCCUGAUCCAGCCAUGCCGCGUGAGUGAAGAAGGCCUUCGGGUUGUAAAGCUCUUUCGGCCGGGAAGAAAUCGCACAGGCUAAUACUCUGUGUGGAUGACGGUACCGGCAUAAGAAGCACCGGCUAACUACGUGCCAGCCGCCGCAGUAA
rnacentral:rRNA from 1 species